GAUGAACGCUGGCGGCGUGCCUAAUACAUGCAAGUCGAGCGAACAGAUGAGAAGCUUGCUUCUCUGAUGUUAGCGGCGGACGGGUGAGUAACACGUGGGUAACCUACCUAUAAGACUGGGAUAACUCCGGGAAACCGGGGCUAAUACCGGAUAAUAUUUUGAACCGCAUGGUUCAAUAGUGAAAGACGGUUUCGGCUGUCACUUAUAGAUGGACCCGCGCCGUAUUAGCUAGUUGGUAAGGUAACGGCUUACCAAGGCGACGAUACGUAGCCGACCUGAGAGGGUGGUCGGCCACACUGGGACUGAGACACGGUCCAGACUCCUACGGGAGGCAGCAGUAGGGAAUCUUCCGCAAUGGGCGAAAGCCUGACGGAGCAACGCCGCGUGAGUGAUGAGGGUCUUCGGAUCGUAAAACUCUGUUGUUAGGGAAGAACAAAUUUGUUAGUAACUGAACAAGUCUUGACGGUACCUAACCAGAAAGCCACGGCUAACUACGUGCCAGCCGCCGCAGUAA
rnacentral:rRNA from 1 species